AUCCUCCUUUCCAUUUAUGAGAAGCCUGCUUGUUGAGCUCUGUACCAUCAGCUGGAGAAGACUCCCUUUUUGUUUCUUCUUGUGUUCACCUGCCAUCACUGCCUUCAGAAUGAGUGACCUGCAAGAAGAAGGUAAAAAUGCUAUCAAUGCACCAAUGAACCCAAGCACUGUGGACAUGCAUCCAGAAGAUACUUUCUUAGAGGAGAAUGAGGAGCGCACUAUGAUUGAUCCUAACUCCAAAGAAGACCCCAGGUUCAAAGAACUGAUCAAGGUA